GAUGAACGCUAGCGGCAGGCUUAACACAUGCAAGUCGAGGGGCAGCAUAAAUAGUAGCAAUACUAUUGGUGGCGACCGGCGGACGGGUGUGUAACGCGUAUACAACCUUCCCUAAACAGGGGGAUAAUCUGGAGAAAUUCGGUCUAAUACCCCAUAACAUCAGAGCAGGCAUCUGUUUUGGUUAAAAUUUCCGGAGGUUUAGGAUGGGUAUGCGUAGCAUUAGCUAGUUGGUGAGGUAACGGCUUACCAAGGCGACGAUGCUUAGGGGGACUGAGAGGUUAACCCCCCACACUGGUACUGAGACACGGACCAGACUCCUACGGGAGGCAGCAGUGGGGAAUAUUGGUCAAUGGGCGGAAGCCUGAACCAGCCAUGCCGCGUGCAGGAUGACGGCUCUAUGAGUUGUAAACUGCUUUUGUACGAGGGUAAAGUGGGCUACGUGUAGCCUUCUGAAAGUAUCGUACGAAUAAGGAUCGGCUAACUCCGUGCCAGCCGCCGCAGUAA
rnacentral:rRNA from 1 species